UGUUGUUGUCAGCAGACUAUCGGUCUACUCGGUCAGCGCUAGCUUCUUCAUCACCGGACAGACUAAUCUAGUGGAGAAGCUGCAGAAGUUUAGCCUGUCCGGUGAGGAAGAAGCUAGCGCUGACCAAGUAGACCGAUAGUCUACUGACAACAACAGCGUCAGCCAACUUCUUAAUGUCUUCGAUCGCAGAGUCGAAGAUGUCGCCGAGUGUUUC